rnacentral:rRNA from 1 species
AGUGAACGCUGGCGGUAGGCCUAACACAUGCAAGUCGAACGGCAGCACAGUAAGAGCUUGCUCUUACGGGUGGCGAGUGGCGGACGGGUGAGGAAUACAUCGGAAUCUACUUUUUCGUGGGGGAUAACGUAGGGAAAGUUAAGCUAAUACCGCAUACGACCUACGGGGGAAAGCAGGGGAUCUUCGGACCUUGCGCGAUUGAAUGAGCCGAUGUCGGAUUAGCUAGUUGGCGGGGUAAAGGCCCACCAAGGCGACGAUCCGUAGCUGGUCUGAGAGGAUGAUCAGCCACACUGGAACUGAGACACGGUCCAGACUCCUACGGGAGGCAGCAGUGGGGAAUAUUGGACAAUGGGCGCAAGCCUGAUCCAGCCAUACCGCGUGGGUGAAGAAGGCCUUCGGGUUGUAAAGCCCUUUUGUUGGGAAAGAAAAGCAGCAGGUUAAUACCCCGCUGUUCUGACGGUACCCAAAGAAUAAGCACCGGCUAACUUCGUG